rnacentral:rRNA from 1 species
UCCUACGGGAGGCAGCAGUGGGGAAUAUUGGACAAUGGGGGGAACCCUGAUCCAGCGACGCCGCGUGAGUGAAGAAGUAUUUCGGUAUGUAAAGCUCUAUCAGCAGGGAAGAAAAUGACGGUACCUGACUAAGAAGCCCCGGCUAACUACGUGCCAGCAGCCGCGGUAAUACGUAGGGGGCAAGCGUUAUCCGGAUUUACUGGGUGUAAAGGGGGCGUAGACGGUGCAGCAAGUCUGAUGUGAAAGGUCGGGGCCCAACCCCGGGACCGCAUUGGAAACUGU